rnacentral:tRNA from 1 species
GUUGUAGCUCAGUGGUAGAGCCCUCGCCUAGCACAUGUGAGUCACUGGGUUCAAUCCUCAGUACGACA